GACGAACGCUGGCGGCGUGCUUAACACAUGCAAGUCGAACGGAAAGGCCCUGCUUUUGUGGGGUGCUCGAGUGGCGAACGGGUGAGUAACACGUAAGUAACCUGCCCUUGACUGUGGGAUAACUUCAGGAAACUGUGGCUAAUACCGGAUAGGAGCUCCUGCUGCAUGGUGGGGGUUGGAAAGUUUCGGCGGUUGGGGAUGGACUGGCGGCUUAUCUGCUUGUUGGUGGGGUAGUGGCUUACCAUGGCUUUGACGGGUAGCCGGCCUGGGAGGGUGACCGGCCACAUUGGGACGGAGAAACGGCCCAGACUCCUACGGGAGGCAGCAGUGGGGAAUAUUGCACAAUGGGCGGAAGCCUGAUGCAGCAACGCCGGGUGCGGGAUGACGGCUUUCGGGUUGUAAACCGCUUUCGCCUGGGACGAACAGUGAGUGACGGUAAUGGGUAAAGAAGCACCGGCUAACUACGUG
rnacentral:rRNA from 1 species